rnacentral:snRNA from 1 species
GUGCUCACUUUGGCAGAACAUAUACUAAAACCGGAACAAUACAAAAAAGAUUAGCAUGGCCCCUGUACAAGGAUGACACGCAAAUUCAUGAAGUGACCCAUGUUUUU